rnacentral:rRNA from 1 species
GAGCGGCAAAAGCUCAAAUUUGAAACCCUCGGGAUUGUAAUUUGAAGAUUUGGCAUUGGAGAAAGCUAACCCAAGUUGCUUGGAAUAGUACGUCAUAGAGGGUGACAACCCCGUCUGGCUAACCGUUCUCCAUGUAUUGCCUUAUCAAAGAGUCGAGUUGUUUGGGAAUGCAGCUCAAAGUGGGUGGUAAACUCCAUCUAAAGCUAAAUACUGGUGAGAGACCGAUAGCGAACAAGUACUGUGAAGGAAAGGUGAAAAGAACUUUGAAAAGAGAGUGAAAUAGUAUGUGAAAUUGUUGAUAGGGAAGGAAAUGAGUGGAGAGUGGCCGAGGUUUCAGCCGCCCCUCGUGGGCGGUGUACUGCCGACGCCGAGUCAUCGAUAGCGAGACGAGGGUUACAAAUGGGAGCGCCUUCGGGCGUUCUCCCCUAACCCUCCACACUGGCACCGAAGAAAUAAUCCACCC